GCAAACUUGGUCAUUUAGAGGAAGUAAAAGUCGUAACAAGGUCUCCGUUGGUGAACCAGCGGAGGGAUCAUUACAGGACUCGCAAGACUCCCGUAAACCACUGUGAACUUACCUACAACCCGUUGCCUCGGCGGGGGGCGCCCGCCGCCCGCCGCCGACGGCCCCUAAACUCUUGUCUCACGCGUUGGCAUCUCCGAGCAGACUAUAAACGAGUCAAAACUUUCAACAACGGAUCUCUUGGUUCUGGCAUCGAUGAAGAACGCAGC
rnacentral:misc_RNA from 1 species